GUCAAGCUGUUACCGGAAAUACCGGAACCGAAUUCCGCGCCGCCGGCUCUGACCCCGGUGUCCUUAGGGGAUAAACACCGGGUCAGGGUGACACCUCCAGGGAUGAAGCCAGACAGCGCAGUACGGGAGGAUCUGGAGGAUCGUGAUCCUAAUAACUUAAACCAGCAUAUACAGAUAGUAUGGGAUGACAUCGUAGGCGAACCAGAAGGCGCCAGAAGUCCGGAGUGCGCGUGGCGUCUCAGCCACAUUUGUUUCAAGUACGCUAGGAAUUGGUG
rnacentral:misc_RNA from 1 species